GGGGCUGACUAUAGCUUUCGACGAGAGGAAUUUAACAGAUCAUUUUGCAAGUCGAUCGUACUCGUUACGUACACUUUUUAAUUGCAACUACAACUUCACAGAAGCUUGCUAACGCAAAAGCUCGUGCACUUGAAGCAUUCGCUCCUCGUUCACUAGCACUAGCAGCCUAGGCUGCGCUCAUUCACUGUCGACAGGCGACAUAUCGAUAGUGAGUGUUAUAUUUAUGUCGCUUACUCUUCCUUCGCGCAGUGGCGAUAGUAGAGGAAAUUUUACCACGUGACCUGUAUAUCAUUUCUGCUUAUCUUAAAGAUAUAUGCGUCGUAAAGAAUAAAGAUAAAAUAAACUUGUAGAUAAAUGAUCAGUUACCUUUCGGACCGGGGUGCGAUUCCCCGCAGCUCCACCA
rnacentral:tmRNA from 1 species